CUCGGAGUUUGAUCCUGGCUCAGAUUGAACGCUGGCGGAAUGCUUUACACAUGCAAGUCGAACGGUAGAGGGGGCAACCCCUUGAGAGUGGCGAACGGGUGAGUAAUAUAUCGGAACGUGCCCAGUCGUGGGGGAUAACGUAGUGAAAAUUACGCUAAUACCGCAUACGAUCUAUGGAUGAAAGCGGGGGAUCGCAAGACCUUGCGCGAUUGGAGCGGCCGAUAUCAGAUUAGGUAGUUGGUGAGGUAAAGGCUCACCAAGCCGACGAUCUGUAGCUGGUCUGAGAGACGACCAGCCACACUGGAACUGAGACACGGUCCAGACUCGUACGGGGAGCAGCAGUGGGGAAUUUUGGACAUGGACGCAAGUCUGAUCCCAGCCCAUUCCGCGUGC
rnacentral:rRNA from 1 species